rnacentral:rRNA from 1 species
CAGUAGCCGCGGUAAUACGUAGGGUGCGAGCGUUAAUCGGAAUUACUGGGCGUAAAGCGUGCGCAGGCGGUUGUGUAAGACAGGUGUGAAAUCCCCGGGCUUAACCUGGGAACUGCGCUUGUGACUGCACAGCUAGAGUAUGGCAGAGGGGGGUGGAAUUCCACGUGUAGCAGUGAAAUGCGUAGAGAUGUGGAGGAACACCGAUGGCGAAGGCAGCCCCCUGGGCCAAUACUGACGCUCAUGCACGAAAGCGUGGGGAGCAAACAGGAUUAGAUACCCCCGUAGUCCCUGUCUCUUAUAU